GUGCUAUAUAAAACUGACGGAUUACCAAGUUUUCGUUUGAUGUUAGUUGUAAAAUAUGAUUCCCUUUAGACCCAGAUUCUUCAGUGUGUUUCCUUUUGUCCUCUGGAUAACAAGUCUAACUGAUGGAAGUGAUGUCAAUCAGACUCCUUUGCUGUGGACGCUCGAGGGUCAGUCUGCCACCAUGAGCUGCAAUCACACUAAAGGUGCUACUUACUACCAGAUGUACUGGUACCAACAGCUGCCUGGACAGAACAUGAAACUAAUAGUAUUUACAACAACAACUCCUCCACAUAAGUAUGAACAAAGCUUCAACAAAGAGAAAUUUCCCGCAGAGAAGGAGGAAGCUCAUAACGGAUCUCUGACAGUGAACAACUCGAAGCCUGAAGACAGUGGAUUGUAUUUCUGUGCUGUGAGUGAACACAGUGAUGCAGCUGAUUGAUAGACCUGCACAAAAACCCAACUGCUGGAGAACCACUGAACUGAAGACAUUUUGGAUUUAAAUAAACUGUAGGUGGAGCUAAUGACUAGAUUUUGUUAAAACUUCAGAUAUUUUUUCAUAUGUUUAUAUUCAA